ACCGUCGACCGCCAUUUUAGUUCGGGGCAAUAUCAUGCCGAAAAGUUGUUCUGCAUAUAACUGUACCAAUAGGUACAGCAAACAUACAGAAAUUACUUUUCACAGAUUUCCUUUCAGCAAACCAACUGUAUUUAGACAAUGGCUGGAUAACAUAUGCCGAGAUGACUUUUAUCCAAAGAAACACAUGGUCAUCUGCUCCCUUCAUUUUACUACGGAUUGUUUCAGUGGCUUAGGCAACCGCAAAAACCUGCUGUGGAACGCUGUACCCACCCUUUUUACAUUUCCACCACCAAAUUCUAAGAAAAGAAAGUCAGGAAAAAGGCUCAAAAUGCUUCCAAAGUGUGUCAGUGUGUCCCAAGAAAAGAUGGAAACACAGAAUGACCUGGACCCAGAAGAGAGACUUCUAUCCAAAUCUGCAGAGGGCAACAAGAAAAAUGGUUCCACUAUUGAUUCAGGAGGACCAUGGACAGUUACCAUCUGCACAGCCUUCGCAAAGAAAACAAGAGCGCGGCCUCUGCCAGCUGGCUGGACAGAGCCUCUCCUGCCAUCUCCAGUGGACGAGCAUUAGGUCUUAUGCAGUACAUUCAUUUAAUACAUAAAGUUUAAUCAUGGUUUACCUUAAAAUUAUUUCUUCCUCAUUUUCCAAGCAGCAAAAUCUGCAACUAUGUCCUUAAAAUCAAGUGCCCUGAGUACAUAAUUCUCAAGAGCCAUACGAUUCAAAGGGUUCAGUCUUUCCUGUCUCAUCGUUGAUCUCAGUCUGUUUUUGACAAGACCCAGCUUUGAAAAGGAACGCUACCCUGAUGCAUUGGUAACAAGUAAACUCAAGAAUAUUUGCUAGGCAAUGUCAACAUUGGGAAAGACUGCUUGUAGGUUCCUCUCUCACCAUGUGAAGCAAUACCCUGGCAGAUGUUUUUCUCACUUUUUAUGAACAUGCUGUCUUACACGUCGACCCAGAGCAUCCCAAACAUGCUUAAUGAAUGACAUGUCUGGUGAGUAUGCAGGGCAUGUAAGAACUGGGACAUUUUCGGCUUCCAGGAAUUGUGUACAGAUCCUCGCGACAUGAGGCAGUGCAUUAUCAUGCUGAAACAUGAGGGGAUGGCGGCGGCACGACAACGGGCUUCGGGAUCUCGUCAUGGUAUGUGCAUUCAAAUUGCCAUCGAUAAAAUGCAGUUGUGUUUGUUGUCCAUAGCUUAUGCCUGCCCAUACCAUAACCCCACCAUGGGGCUCUGUUGACAACGCUGACAUCCGCAAACCGCUCGCUCACACCACCCCAUACACGCUGUCUGCCAUCUGCUCAGUACAGUUGAAGCCGGGAUUCAUCCAUGAAGAGCACACUUCUCCAGCGUGCCAGUGGCCAUCGAAGCAUGUUGUCAUCUUCGAUCACAGUUACUCGCUGUCUGACCCAUGUGGAGUGAAGGCCCAGCUAUUCAAAGCCUUGGAUACCAACAAAU